AGCAGCCGCGGUAAUUCCAGCUCCAAUAGCGUAUAUUAAAGUUGUUGCAGUUAAAAAGCUCGUAGUUGAAUUUCGGGAUCAAUAUGUUGGUCGUGCCUUGGUACGUACUGGCGUCAUUGGUUUCUACCUUCUGAAGAACCUCGAUGUCAUUAAUUUGGUGUCUUGGGGAAUCAGGACUGUUACUUUGAAAAAUUAGAGUGUUUAAAGCAAGCUCACGCUUGAAUACAUUAGCAUGGAAUAAUGAAAUAGGACGUUUGAUUCUAUUUUGUUGGUUUCUAGGAUCGACGUAAUGAUUAAUAGGGAUAGUUGGGGGCAUUAGUAUUCAAUUGUCAGAGGUGAAAUUCUUGGAUUUAUUGAAGACUAACUACUGCGAAAGCAUUUGCCAAGGAUGUUUUCAUUAAUCAAGAACGAAAGUUAGGGGAUCGAAGACGAUCAGAUACCGUCGUAGUC
rnacentral:rRNA from 1 species